rnacentral:rRNA from 1 species
CCUACGGGAGGCAGCAGUAGGGAAUCUUCCACAAUGGACUAAAGUCUGAUGCAGCAACGCCGCGUGAGUGAUGAAGGCCUUCGGGUCGUAAAGCUCUGUUGUUAGGGAAGAACAAGUACGAGAGUAACUGCUCGUACCUUGACGGUACCUAACCAGAAAGCCCCGGCUAACUACGUGCCAGCAGCCGCGGUAAUA